UACGGAGGGUGCAAGCGUUAUCCGGAUUCACUGGGUUUAAAGGGUGCGUAGGAGGGCAGGUAAGUCAGUGGUGAAAUCUCCGAGCUUAACUUGGAGACUGCCGUUGAUACUAUCUGUCUUGAAUAUUGUGGAGGUGAGCGGAAUAUGUCAUGUAGCGGUGAAAUGCUUAGAUAUGACAUAGAACACCAAUUGCGAAGGCAGCUCGCUACACAUAUAUUGACUCUGAGGCACGAAAGCGUGGGGAUCAAACAGG
rnacentral:rRNA from 1 species